rnacentral:rRNA from 1 species
UUUGACUUGCGGGAUUCAACCGUUUAUACGCGGCAGCAUGCAGCAUUGGUGAUUGCUCCAAAGGUAACACCAUGCCGUAGCGCAUUAUAUGCUCGUUAAACUUGGUGCAUUUUCCGCAGGUCAGCACCACGGUCAGCUGUAUCACGGAUUUGUUGUCAAUGAGGAGAUAGUGUACAUGUAAAUGUGCAUGUUAUAGCUCGUGACGCGAAUACCUGUGCAUAAAGUUAAGCUGGGAUGGCAACGUCUGCCUGUUCCAAAGACAGGCUCACGGUACGUGAAGACGGGUGACCAGGAAGGCUAGACUGGUUUGUUAAGAAUGGUCUAUUUUUCUGGUUGCUUUCAUCGGAAGCGUAUGCAGUGACAAGGCGUAAUUUGCCUGUGGUUGACAAGUAGGCAGUCUACCUGACCCGUCUUGAAACACGGACCAAGGAGUCUAACAUGUGCGCGAGUCAUAGGGCGAUACGAAACCCGAAGGCGCAGUGAAAGUAAAGACUUACCUUUCGGUAAGUUGCGGUAAGACACUGAUUCUUUGUUGAACUUUAGUGUUCACAGGUCAGUUGCAUUACCGGCCCAUCCUAUUUGUCAUUUGCAAAGGGGUGGAGCAAGAGCGUACAUGUUGGGACCCGAAAGAUGGUGAACUAUGCUUGUGUAGGUUGAAGCCAGAAGAAAUUCUGGUGGAAGACCGUAGUGGUUCUGACGUGCAAAUCGAUCAUCAAACAUGAGUAUAGGGGCGAAAGACUAAUCGAACCAUCUAGUAGCUGGUUCCCUCUGAAGUUUCCCUCAGGAUAGCAGACACUCAUGCAUUGCAAAGUUUUAUCCGGUAAAGCGAAUGAUUAGAGGUCCUAGGAUCUAAAGGAUCUUAACCUAUUCUCAAACUUUAAAUGGGUCAGAAGCAAGGCUCUCUUAAUUGGAGUCACGCAUUGAAUUUGAGUGGUCUAGUGGGCCAUUUUUGGUAAGCAGAACUGGCGAUGUGGGAUGAACCAAACGUUAAGUUAAAGCGCCUAACGAAACGCUCAUGAGACACCACAAAAGGUGUUGGUUGAUAUAGACAGCAGGACGGUGGCCAUGGAAGUCGGAAUCCGCUAAGGAGUGUGUAACAACUCACCUGCCGAAUCAACCAGCCCUGAAAAUGGAUGGCGCUCGAGCGUUGGGCUUAUACUUAACCAACACUCAAAGAGUCAUUGCUUGCAAUGAUCGCGGACUGAGUGUUGUGUAAGAGGGCCGAUGUGGAAAGCGUUGAAGUUUAACCGU